rnacentral:rRNA from 1 species
AGCAGCCGCGGUAAUUCCAGCUCCAAUAGCGUAUAUUAAAGUUGUUGCAGUUAAAAAGCUCGUAGUUGAAUUUCGGGAUCAAUACGUCGGUCGUGCUUAGGUACGUACUGGCGUAAUUGAUUUCUCCCUUCUGACGAACCGUGAUGUCAUUAACUUGGUGUCAUGGGAAAUCAGGACUGUUACUUUGAAAAAAUUAGAGUGUUUAAAGCAGGCUCACGCUUGAAUACAUUAGCAUGGAAUAAUGAAAUAGGACGUUCGAUCCUAUUUUGUUGGUUUUAGGAUCAACGUAAUGAUUAAUAGGGAUAGUUGGGGGCAUUAGUAUUCAAUUGUCAGAGGUGAAAUUCUUGGAUUUAUUGAAGACUAACUACUGCGAAAGCAUUUGCCAAGGAUGUUUUCAUUAAUCAAGAACGAAAGUUAGGGGAUCGAAGACGAUCAGAUACCGUCGUAGUCUUAACCAUAAACUAUGCCGACUAGGGAUCGGAUGAUGUUAAUUUUUAAUGACUCACUCGGCGCCUUACGG